CGUGCAGGCGGCCUGGAAAGUUGGAUGUGAAAUCUCUCGGCUCAACUGGGAGAGGCCGUUCAAGACUAUCAGGCUCGAGGGCGACAGAGGGAGGUGGAAUUCCGGGUGUAGUGGUGAAAUGCGUAGAUAUCCGGAGGAACACCAGAGGCGAAGGCGACCUCCUGGGUCGUACCUGACGCUCAGACGCGAAAGCUAGGGGAGCAAACGGGAUUAGAAACCCCGGUAGUCCUAGCCGUAAACGAUGUAGACUGGGUGUCGGCGGGGUAAAAGCCGUCGGUGCCGAAGCCAACGCGAUAAGUCUACCGCCUGGGGACUACGGCCGCAAGGUUAAA
rnacentral:rRNA from 1 species